CACCUGAGGUCCUGCAGUCCUGCAGCCGCCAAGCUGGUCCACGCCUGCACCCGAGGUCCUGCAGUCCUGUGGCUGCCAAGCUUGUCCAUGCCCUGUAACCUGCUUGAAAGGCACUUUAAGACCUGCACCCGAGGUCCUGCAGUCCUGUGGUCCUGUGGCCACCAAGCUGGCCCAUGCCCCUGUCACUUGCUUGAAAAACGCUUCAACACCUGGCUUCCACAUCCCUUCCUGGAGCUUCCCAGAGCCUCCAGUGAGUCUGCAGCUCCCAGCUCUGCACUGCCUGAAAUCACAGGGAGACGUACGUGUCAAGGUGCGAGUGCCAUGCCUGUCCUCUCAGGAACAGCAUUCUGAGCUCCUCACUGUGGAAGCUGCUCUGGUCUCUGCUUCCACGUGGGCACAGGCCAUCAUGCAGCAAGGUGUGAGCGAGG
rnacentral:lncRNA from 1 species